GGCACAGACUCGCCUCUUCCACUCGUUUUUUGCUCCCCUGGGUUUGGCCUCUGAGAGCCCCACUGGGUGUUGCUCACUUGGGUCCAUGUUCCUUUAUCCUGUAAGCAUGCCUUGCUCUGGGCACUGGAGACCAGCUCACAGUUGGCAUUGAGGCUCAGAGCCUGCAUGCCGAACAGAACUGCCUGGGUUCAAAUCCUGGCUCUACUGCUAAUCAGCUGCACCACCCCAGGAAACGGAGGCCCAGAGAGGUGGAGCCAUUUGCCUCAUUUCUCCAGCAUGGGAAGAACAGGGAACAGGACCUCAGGGCCUCUGGGCCUCUCUCAGCAGCCUGCUAGCUCUGGCAGCUGCCUCCGGGAGCCACUCCCAAAGAUACCAGCCAUGGACAAACCCUUGCAUCCGGCUCUGCUUUGAAGGGAACCCCCAAAGCCCGUGACCCCUGAGAAGCAAGUGUCUGCGCUGUGGCCUCUGGCCCCCGGUCCUUGUCAUGGAAGAUGUAAAAACUCACACCAGCACAAAGCUGCGGCUGGGAAGAAAGGCGGCCUGUGGCCUGGGAGGGAUUAUGUUAUAUCCAGGCAAGAUACAGAUCUUAAAGCUCACUGAUGCUGGCGCCCAUGUGUUAAUCCUGGCCCUGGCAGUCCUGAUCCUCAGCCCCAGCCUGGGCAGGCAGAGGUACCUGGAGGAGUUGCAGCCUUGCAGACUAACUCUAUUCUUCACUUGCUAUGUGGCCUCAAGUCAGUGUCUUAACCUCUCUGUGCUUCAAUAUCCUCAUUCAUAAAAUGGGGGGAAUAAUAGGCUCUAGUGCAGCGUUUUUAAUGCCGAUUAAGGAUAUUAAUAUUCAUAAGGCGCUUCAAAGCGUGCCCAGCGCACAGUAA